rnacentral:rRNA from 1 species
GAUGAACGCUGGCGGCGUGCUUAAUACAUGCAAGUCGAGCGAACAGACGAGGAGCUUGCUCCUCUGACGUUAGCGGCGGACGGGUGAGUAACACGAGGAUAACCCACCUAUAAGACUGGUAUAACCUCGGGAAACCGGCGCUAAUCCCGGAUAAUAUCUUGAUCCGCAUGGUUCAAUAGUGAAAGACGGUUUUGCUGUCUCUUAUAGAUGGAUCCGCGCCGCAUUAGCUAGUUGGUAAGGUAACGGCUUACCAAGGCAACGAUGCGUAGCCGACCUGAGAGGCUGAUCGGCCACACUGGAACUUAGACGCGGACCAGACUCCUAAGGGAGGCAUCAGUAGGGAAUCUGCCGCAAUAGUCGAAAGCCUGACGGAGCAACACGGCGUGAGUGAUGAAGGUCUUCGGAUCGUAAAACUCGGUUAUUGGGGAAGAACAAAUGUCUAAGUAACUAUGCACGUCUUGACGGUACCUGAUCAGAAAGCCACGGCUAACUACGUG